CAGUCGCCACGGGAAUACGAAGGGGGCUAGCGUUGUUCGGAAUUACUGGGCGUAAAGGGCGCGUAGGCGGCCAUUCAAGUUAGAUGUGAAAGCCCUGGGCUCAACCUAGGAAUUGCAUUUGAUACUGUUUGGCUUGAGUUCGGGAGAGGUGAGUGGAAUUCCCAGUGUAGAGGUGAAAUUCGUAGAUAUUGGGAAGAACACCAGUGGCGAAGGCGGCUCACUGGACCGACACUGACGCUGAGGCGCGAAAGCGUGGGGAGCAAACAGGAUUAGAUACCCCCGUAGUCCCUGUCUCUUAUCC
rnacentral:rRNA from 1 species